UUGCUCCUUUGACGUUAGCGGCGGACGGGUGAGUAACACGUGGAUAACCUACCUAUAAGACUGGGAUAACUUCGGGAAACCGGAGCUAAUACCGGAUAACAUAUUGAACCGCAUGGUUCAAUAGUGAAAGGCGGCUUUGCUGUCACUUAUAGAUGGAUCCGCGCCGUAUUAGCUAGUUGGUAAGGUAACGGCUUACCAAGGCAACGAUACGUAGCCGACCUGAGAGGGUGAUCGGCCACACUGGAACUGAGACACGGUCCAGACUCCUACGGGAGGCAGCAGUAGGGAAUCUUCCGCAAUGGGCGAAAGCCUGACGGAGCAACGCCGCGUGAGUGAUGAAGGUCUUCGGAUCGUAAAACUCUGUUAUCAGGGAAGAACAAAUGUGUAAGUAACUGUGCACAUCUUGACGGUACCUGAUCAGAAAGCCACGGCUAACUACGUGCCAGCAGCCGCGGUAAUACGUAGGUGGCAAGCGUUAUCCGGAAUUAUUGGGCGUAAAGCGCGCGUAGGCGGUUUUUUAAGUCUGAUGUGAAAGCCCACGGCUCAACCGUGGAGGGUCAUUGGAAACUGGAAAACUUGAGUGCAGAAAAGGAAAGUGGAAUUCCAUGUGUAGCGGUGAAAUGCGCAGAGAUAUGGAGGAACACCAGUGGCGAAGGCGACUUUCUGGUCUGUAACUGACGCUGAUGUGCGAAAGCGUGGGGAUCAAACAGGAUUAGAUACCCUGGUAGUCCACGCCGUAAACGAUGAGU
rnacentral:rRNA from 1 species